AUGGUACUCCCUCCGUCCGAAAAAGCUUGUCCAUCUAAUGGAUGUAUCUCGCACCAAGUUAGUGCCAGAUACACCCAUUUAAAUGACAAGCAGAGGGACAAAUUUUUUCGGACGGAGGGAGUACCAU
rfam:Triticum aestivum genome assembly, contig: Triticum_aestivum_CS42_TGACv1_scaffold_224759_3B